UUUCCGUAGGUGAACCUGCGGAAGGAUCAUUAUUGAAUUGUAAUGGGCUUUGAUGCUGACUUCGUUAAGGAGUAUGUGCUCGGCCUUUAAUCCAAUCAACCACUGUGCACUUACAUUUGAUGAAGUUGUAGUCUCCCCAAGUAAUUGGGAGCGGCUGAGCCCUCUGGGGCGAAGCUGGGAUUUCAACUUUGUUAAUCACCAUAAACCACUUUAUUGUCCUGUAGAAUGUGAUAUUAUAAAUAAUACAACUUUCAACAACGGAUCUCUUGGCUCUC
rnacentral:misc_RNA from 1 species